rnacentral:rRNA from 1 species
ACAGUGGACGCGAGCAUCUGUGGCCAAGUUUUUAAGGGCGCACGGUGGAUGCCUUGGCACCAGGAACCGAUGAAGGACGUGGGAGGCCACGAUAGUCCCCGGGGAGUCGUCAACCAGGCUUUGAUCCGGGGGUUUCCGAAUGGGGAAACCCGGCAGUCGUCAUGGGCUGUCACCCGCUGCUGAACUCAUAGGCAGUGUGGAGGGAACGCGGGGAAGUGAAACAUCUCAGUACCCGCAGGAAGAGAAAACAACCGUGAUUCCGGGAGUAGUGGCGAGCGAAACUGGAUGAGGCCAAACCGUAUGUGUGUGAUACCCGGCAGGGGUUGCGCAUGCGGGGUUGUGGGAUCUCUCUUCCACGGUCUGCCGGCCGUGGGACGAGUCAGAAACCGUUGAUGUAGGCGAAGGACAUGCGAAAGGUCCGGCGUAGAGGGUAAGACCCCCGUAGUCGAAACAUCAGCGGCUCGUUUGAGAGACACCCAAGUAGCACGGGGCCCGAGAAAUCCCGUGUGAAUCUGGCGGGACCACCCGCUAAGCCUAAAUAUUCCCUGGUGACCGAUAGCGGAUAGUACCGUGAGGGAAUGGUGAAAAGUACCGCGGGAGCGGAGUGAAAUAGUACCUGAAACCGUGUGCCUACAAGCCGUGGGAGCGUCGCGCAUCGAGCUUGCUCGGUGCGUCGUGACUGCGUGCCUUUUGAAGAAUGAGCCUGCGAGUUAGCGGUGUGUAGCGAGGUUAACCCGUGUGGGGAAGCCGUAGCGAAAGCGAGUCCGAACAGGGCGAUUUGAGUUGCACGCUCUAGACCCGAAGCGGAGUGAUCUAGCCAUGGGCAGGUUGAAGCGGCUGUAAGAGGUCGUGGAGGACCGAACCCACCAGGGUUGAAAACCUGGGGGAUGACCUGUGGUUAGGGGUGAAAGGCCAAUCAAACUCCGUGAUAGCUGGUUCUCCCCGAAAUGCAUUUAGGUGCAGCGUCGUGUGUUUCUUGCCGGAGGUAGAGCACUGGAUAGGCGAUGGGCCCUACCGGGUUACUGACCUUAGCCAAACUCCGAAUGCCGGUAAGUGAGAGCGCGGCAGUGAGACUGUGGGGGAUAAGCUCCAUGGUCGAGAGGGAAACAGCCCAGAGCAUCGACUAAGGCCCCUAAGCGUACGCUAAGUGGGAAAGGAUGUGGAGUCGCAGAGACAACCAGGAGGUUGGCUUAGAAGCAGCCACCCUUGAAAGAGUGCGUAAUAGCUCACUGGUCUAGUGAUUCCGCGCCGACAAUGUAGCGGGGCUCAAGCGUACCGCCGAAGUCGUGUCAUUGCAGCAAUACUCCCAACGGAGGCUGUGAUGGGUAGGGGAGCGUCGUGUGCCGGGUGAAGCAGCCGUGGAAGCGAGUUGUGGACGGUUCACGAGUGAGAAUGCAGGCAUGAGUAGCGAUUCACACGUGAGAAACGUGUGCGCCGAUUGACUAAGGGUUCCUGGGUCAAGCUGAUCUGCCCAGGGUAAGUCGGGACCUAAGGCGAGGCCGACAGGCGUAGUCGAUGGAUAACCGGUUGAUAUUCCGGUACCCGCUGUGAAGCGUCAAACAUUGAAUCCAGUGAUGCUAAGCCCGUGAAGCCGUUCCGGACCCUUCGGGGAAUGGAAAGUGGUGGAGCCGGUGGCCCGAGCUGGUAGUAGGUGAGUGAUGGGGUGACGCAGGAAGGUAGUCCAUCCCGGGCGGUGGUUGUCCCGGGGUAAGGGUGUAGGACGUCAGGUAGGUAAAUCCGCCUGACACGUAGUCUGAGACCUGAUGCCGAGCCGAUUGUGGUGAAGUGGAUGAUCCUAUGCUGUCGAGAAAAGCCUCUAGCGAGU